ACGAGCCCGAGUCCCGGCACAGGAGCCGGCAGAGGGCCCCUCCUCCCUGCUCUCCUGGGCGGAGGGGGCGUCCUGGUCAGUCGAGGUCCGCACUUCUCACAGCUGCAGGGAGCAAAAAUUCCCUGGGAUUUUCGGAAGCCGGUUUUAAGUUCUACAUGGGACUUAACACCAUUUCCUGUCUCUUGGCCGUUUGUGGUUGCCAGCUACAAAACAAGACAAAACUCGGUGGCCUCUCUGAGCCGCUAAAUCUCUGUGAUGGGAAGGCGCUGACUUGAGCUCGGGUGUCGGAGUCCUAGCCCCCAGAAUGCAGUCUCUUCUGGAGAUGGGGCCUCUACAGAGGUGGUCACGCUAAGAUGAGUGGUUAGGGUGGAGCCCAAGCCACCACGCCGGGUGUCCUCGUGAGAAGAGGCCAUCUGGACAGACAGGUGCACACAGACACAGGGAGAAGAUGGCAUCUCAGAGCCAAGGAGGGAGGCCUGGACCAGAUAGAUCCUUCCCACGCCCUCGGAAGGAACCGACCCUGAACCUCGAUCUCAGACUCCCCGCCUCCGGAAUUGCGACCGCACAUCCCGCAUAGCUUAAGCCGCCCUGCUGCCGUGCUGUGUUAGCCCUCGCACACCACUGCGGUGGGAGGGGUGCCCGACCUCGACGCUAGGCAUUGUGGGGAGCUGCUCCCGUCGGGAUCCAGGGGAAGAGGGACACAGCAGGACGACUAGCGGGGCACCGAGAACCAAACGCAUGCCUGCUUCCUGCCUGAUUCUAAGCUGCUUUCCUUCCGGGAGGGAUGGUGGGGCUUCUACAGAAAGCAAGUAUCCCCACCAGGCCGUGUAGCUGCCACCCUACCUAGAUCCCCUGUGCUGCUCGACACCGGGGAACAUGCCUGUCCUGUGACCUCACCGAUUCCCGACCAAGGCAAUCUCCAGUAAGCGCUGUUUUUGUAUGGCCAGGACAAGGCAUUAAAGAAAGAUAAAGCCACAACAUUUAUCACCGGACUGAAAACGAAGAAGUUUCCGAGAUAAAGAAAAACUCAUUAAUUUGUGUUCAGUGACAUCACCAGCCAUACACACAGCAUUUCAUCGGAUUUAGUACGGUAACAGUAAAAAGUUAGCAACAAAGUAGUCGCUUACUGUGCAAAUAAAUUUAUUGACAAACAAUAUUUGGGCAUGCGUUUUAUAGAUUGUUAUCCUGGGCUUUUGUUCUGGACUGUGGGGCCCACUCCGAAUAUAGUGAGAGGUAUUUCGCACUGUGUCUUUUUUAAAUGCUUCUUUAAUACAACAAUUUUAUUGAGCUAUAAGCCACAUAAUGAGCGUGUACAUUAGUUCACUCAUUUAAAGCAUCAGUUCAUUCCAAGUGUGCAAAUUCAGUAGCUCUUAGUCUAUUCGCAAGUUGUGAGCCAUUAGCAGCUUUAGAAAAUUUUCAUCGCCUCCCCCCCCCCCCCACAAACAUUGCACACAUCAUCAGUCACUCGCCGUUUCCCCAGCAUCCCCUGCCCCCACACCAAGCCCAGCCUGAGACAACCACUGGUCUGCUCUCUGGUGUCACAGAUUUGCCUCUUCCGGACAUUUCUUACAAAGGGAUCCGACAACAUGUGGGCUUUUGAGACCUGCUUCCAUCACCGACAUGAUGUCAUGUUCUAGGAUGUGCGGGUACCUCCUUCCUUUUCACUGCUAAACGCACCAUGGUAGGAACACACCGCGUGUACAGAUCCACGCACUGGCUGAUGGACGUUUGGGUGGUUUGCACUUUUUGGCCGUUAUGAAUGCUGCUGCUGUGGACACCUGUGUACAGAAGUAUCUGCUUGACCACAUGGUUCCACUUCUCUUGGGUUUACAUCCAGGAGUGGAGUUGCUGUCCCUUCGAGGAGGAGCCAGUCUGUCUUCCAAAGUGGCUGCGUCAUCUCAUAUCCCACCAUCAGGCCAUGGGGAAGAUCCAGGUGCUCCACACCCUCGUCAACGUGUUACUGUCUUGUUGGCGACAGCCGUCCUAUGCUGUGUGACGUGGUCGCACGUUGUGCACUUGACCCGUGAUUCUUUAUAGAUGAGUGAUAUUGAGCAUCUUUUCGGGCGUUUGUUGUCCUAUUUAUAUUUUCUUUGAAGAAAUCCCUUCUCAAAUCUCUUGCCCAUGUUUUAAAACAAUUUUUUUCAACAUUUGUUCAUUUUUGACAGAGAGAGAGAGAGAGAGAGAGAGAGAGAGAGAGAGAGAGCAUGAGUGGGGGAGGGGCAGAGGGAGAGAGGGAGGCACAGAAUCUGAAGCAGGCUCCAGGCUCUGAACUGUCAGCACAGAGCCUGAUGUGGGGCUUGAACUCAUGAACCUCGAGAUCAUGACCUGAACCUAAAUUGGACACUUAACCAACUGAGCCACUCAGGCGCCCCUCUCUUGCCCAUUUUUAAAUUGGGUUGUUUCGCUCAUUAUUGAGUUGUAGGAGUUCUUUAUAUAUUAUAGAUAUGAGUCCCUUACCAGAUAGAUGCUUUACAAAUGUUUUCUCCCAUUCUAUGGGUUGUCUUUUCAUUUUCUUAAUGGUUUCCUUUGAAGUUCAAAAACUUAAAAUUUUUAUCAAGUCCAAUGUAUCUAUGUUUGUUGUUAUUACUGUUGCUUGCGUUUUUGGUGUCAUAUCUAAGAUUGCUUGCCUAAUCCAAGGUCUCAAAGAUUUACUCUUGUAUUUUCUCCUAGGAGUUUUAUGAGUUUAGCUCUUCCAUCGGGUUGAUGAUUCAUUUUGAGUUAAUUUUCAUGUAUGGUCUAAGAAAAGGGUCCAAGUUUAUUCUU